rnacentral:rRNA from 1 species
UACGAAGGGGGCUAGCGUUGCUCGGAAUCACUGGGCGUAAAGCGCACGUAGGCGGAUUGUUAAGUCAGGGUGAAAUCCUGGAGCUCAACUCCAGAACUGCCUUUGAUACUGGCGAUCUUGAGUCCGGGAGAGGUGAGUGGAACUCCGAGUGUAGAGGUGAAAUUCGUAGAUAUUACGGAAGAACACCAGUGGCGAAGGCGGCUCACUGGCCCGGUACUGACGCUGAUGUGCGAAAGCGUGGGGAGCAAACAGG